GUGAUAAAUACGUUUAUAUGCGUUUAAUACGUUAUUUUGGUUUAGCUUACUUGUCCAAUACAUGAAUAUAAUAUCCAUGACUGUGUUUUGAAUAAUAAUUACCAACUUAUAUCGCUACUUAUACGCAUUUUAUCCGAAUCGGUAGCGUCUGUUAUCACGCUUAAUUAUCUUUACAAAUAACAAAAAAAUGCAAAUAGUUAUAAUAUGAACAGAAAAAAUGUUUAAACUCUAAAACCCGAACAGUUUUUGUUAUACG